GCUCGGCCGUUGACUCCAUCCAGAUGUGCGGUGGCUCCAGAGUGGCUGCCGCGCGCAGUAAAUGGGCAUCGGAGGCUCGUCAAUCUGGGCCAGAGCAAUUGCGGUCUCGCGGGCGGCUCCACUGGCACGCGGAAACAUUCCGGAAUCAAGAACUUGUAACAUCAUAAACUGAAAUGAAUCUGGGUGAACCUUGCAGUCCUUCUGCAGUAACUUUACUGACCCUGUUCAGAACUUGAAGCCUCCCAAUCUUUGAGCUGUGAGUUGUGCUUCAAACAGCUCCCAGCUCUGCUGUGUUGUCCGUCCCCACCAGGCCUUGGGGAAGCAUGGCCAGCCACACCAUGUGCAGCAGCAGAGACAAGUGGCCACCAAAGUGUCCAAAACAGCUGAGAUCAAAACAAGCUGCAAAUCAGCCCCAACAUGCACUGCUUAGAAUUUGAUUAUACAAAAAGGCUCACAUGAGAAAUAGAAACUUUAUAACGGUGCCUUGCAUGGUUUGAUAUUCUCAUGGUUAAGGAACCCUUGAGAGCCUGGAAAAGCAAGCACAAAUCUGCUCUGAGGACCACAUUCUUUCAAUCAAGACCACACCAGAUCACAGGAGAAAAUAAAAUCUCUCACAAGAGCAUCUCAUAAUCAAAAUUUUAUAACACACAAGAAAGUACUCAUUAAAAAUGAAUCAGCAGGUGUAGCUAAAUCCAAGAACCUGAAAUAAUGGAAUAAUAUUGUCAAGUAAGUUAUAGAUUAAAUAAUUGUCAAUUAUUAAAAAGAUGAAAGAAUAAGAUCCAUAUAGAAAUAUUUUAACAAGAUAUGUAUUAGAAUUCUUAGGGAAAAUAUAGUCAUUAAAAUUAAAAAUUCAUCAUUGAUUUGAAUACCAUAUUAGACAUAGGUAAAGAAAGAAUUAGUGAACCAGAAUGUAUAUCUGAAGAAGUCAUCCGGAAUCUAAAGAUAAAGAGAGAUAAAAGAAGAUACCAUACAAGUUGCACUGACAGACAUGAGAUGGAGUACAGAGCCCCAACACACUUCUGGGCUGAUUUGCUAGUGGUAUGUACACUUUUCAUUCUGCUGUCAUUACUCAAAGAUCUCUGAUUUGUUUGGGAUGAUAAUAUGCCCGGCUAGAGAAAAAUAUAUCCCCCAGCCCCUCCUCCUGUCUAAGCAAAGGGGUAACCAAAUGACCCAAUGAAAUAGAAGCAGAUGUUUCCAAGUGAAGUUCCUGAGGGUGCUCCUUAAAAGCUUAUCCUUUCUUCUGUCAUUUGUUUUCUAUGUGGACACUAGUAGUGUGCUAAAGGUGGAACGGUGAUCUUGAA